rnacentral:lncRNA from 10 species
AGCAAAAGCCAAAGCAGCCAACAAAGCCACAGCCCUAUCGGCUGUACUGGGCUCUGCCUUUUGGGCAGCUCGCCGGCCACUCCCCAAAAGCAGAGCAUUCCAUCCUUUCUCUUUUUAAACCCACGUCAUCAUCUGAUCAUAAUGGAAAUCAAUCUCCUCAAACCACCAUGCAAAGGCGUAUCCAUGGCAACCUCAAAAGGAAGGACACAGAGAUGAUGCUUCAGUGGCUGCAGCAGGAAAAGGAAACCUGUAGCUCAGUAUGGAUUCAGGGGCGCCUCAGACGCUCGCAGGAACGGAGGGGAGACCCUUGCAGUUCUGGAGGAACUCUAAGGCGCAGUCACUCUGAUCCCAGGAGAACAAUGCUAGGCUGAAGAGCUGAGUCCAGCCCUGACUGAAAACUGCGCACCGACCGCAGCCGGGAUUACAUCAAUCAGGCACAAAGCUGGACACCUGGGACAGGAUAAGCGCACGCGCACUGUGCCUGGGAAGCCGAUUAGGACCAUAAGAAAUCGGCGUGUCGUGGCGAGCGCCCUCUUUCGGCGGAGGGGAGAAAGCGCAGAAGGGCUGGAGGACUUAUUUGCAAGUGUUAAACUGCUAAUUAAAACAAUAGCGAUAAACCAUAUCUCCUCCAUUAGCCUGGGGGAGAAAAUUAAAUGUUGCUGCUACUCAGUGUUACCUGUCAUAUGGGGAUACAGGCAUUCUCAUGCGCUUAUGAUGGGAAUGUAAAAUACAAAUUUACAUAAUGGCAUUUUAAAAUUUUAGACAUAGGUUCAAAUUCUUUUUUUUCUGUUUUUAAGACAAGGUCUCGCUCUGUUGUCUAGACUGGAGUGCGGUAGCACGCACAAUCAUGGCUCAUUGCGGCCUUGACUUCUCAGGCUCAGGCCAUCCUCCCACCUCUCAGCCUCCGUAGUAGCUGGGUCUGCAGGCGCGCACCACCAUGCCCUUUUAAUUUUCGUUUUUUGUUUUUUGUUUUUUUGUAAAGACGGGGUUUCACAAUGUUGCCCAGGCUGGUCUCGAACCCCUGGGCUCAAGCGAUCCAAUCGCUUCGGCCUCCCAAAGGGCUGGAAUUACAGACAUGAGCCACCGCACCCGCCUGGGUUCAAAUUCUAACUGCAAUUUACUAGCCGUGUGAAAUCUAGAGUUACUUAUUUACCCUCUCUGUGCCUCUGUUUUCUUAUUUGUUAAAGUGAGAAUGUAAAUGAUGGUACCUAUCUCAUUAUGUUGUUAGAAGGAUUAAGUUAAUCCAUGUAAAGAGCUGGAAAUAUAACUAUUGUAAUGUUAUAUUUAU